UCGUCGGUGUCGGCAGGGAGGCCCCGGA
rnacentral:sRNA from 1 species